AGGAGUGCAAACAGGCCUCAAACAGAUAUAUCUAUCAAGGCCCAGAGGACAGGUCCCAGAGAGAGAGAGAGCAGAAAAGAGAGAGAGAGAGACAGGGAGGAUGCUGUUGCUUUUUGUCUUCUGAUAAGGUCAGAUCUUUGAAGAAGAAGAAGAAGAAGAAGAUGAAAGGCAAAAAAAGGUAGGAUCAGAUGGUGUCUCUUUCUCCAACUACAAAUGACAGAGAGAGGGAGAAGGGCUGACAGAGAGAGGGAGAGAGGGACACAGAGAGACAGCGAGAGAGAGAGCAAGGGGGAAAA
rnacentral:lncRNA from 1 species